UACGUAGGGUGCAAGCGUUGUCCGGAAUUAUUGGGCGUAAAGAGCUUGUAGGCGGUUUGUCGCGUCUGCUGUGAAAUUUCGGGGCUCAACCCCGAACUUGCAGUGGGUACGGGCAGACUAGAGUGUGGUAGGGGAGACUGGAAUUCCUGGUGUAGGCGGUGAAAUGCGCAGAUAUCAGGAGGAACACCGAUGGCGAAGGCAGGUCUCUGGGCCAUAACUGACGCUGAGGAGCGAAAGCGUGGGGAGCAAACAGG
rnacentral:rRNA from 1 species